GCUCCCAGUUUGGCUCCAAGGCCUCCCCCAGUCCCUCCCAGUAUAACCCAGUCCCUCCCAGUAUAACCCAGUCCAUCCCAGUUCCCCCCGAAUCCCCUCCCAGUUCAUCCCAGUGCUCCCAGUUCACCUCUAACUCCAUCCCAGUAUGGCCCAGUUCCCUCCCAGCGCUCCCAGUUCAUCCCAGUUCCGUCCCAGUCCAUCCCAGUAUAACCCAGUCCCUCCCAGUCUGUCCCAGUUCCCUCCCAGUCUGUCCCAGUUCCCUCCCAGUUUGUCCCAGUUCAUCCCAGUUCCCCCCAGUUUGUCCCAGUCCAUCCCAGUUACCCUUCCAUUUUCUCCCAGUUGCUCCCAGUUCACUCCAAAUCCCCUCCCAGUACAUCCCAGUCCCGCCCAGUUUAUCCCAGUUCCCUCCCAGUUCCAUCCCAGUUCGUUCCCAGUUCCAUCCCAGUUUGUCUCAGUUUGCUCCCAGUUCAUCCCAGUUUGUCCCAGUUCCAUCCCAGUUUAUCCCAGUCCAUCCCAGUUCCUCCCAGUUUAUCCCAGUCCAUCCCAGUCCGUCCCAGUCCGUCCCAGUUUAUCCCAGUUCCCUCCCAGUUCCUCCCAGUUUGUCCCAGUUCCCUCCCAGUUUGUCCCAGUUUGUCCCAGUUCCCACCCGGCCUCAUCGCCGCUUUCUCCACGCGGGGCUCGCGCGCCUCUGCCGGAACGGGAAGUGACGUCACAAAUAACGGGA
rnacentral:lncRNA from 1 species